AUUGAACGCUGGCGGCAGGCCUAACACAUGCAAGUCGAGCGGAUGAAGAGAGCUUGCUCUCUGAUCUAGCGGCGGACGGGUGAGUAAUGCCUAGGAAUCUGCCUGGUAGUGGGGGAUAACGUUCCGAAAGGAACGCUAAUACCGCGUACGUCCUACGGGAGAAAGCAGGGGACCUUCGGGCCUUGCGCUAUCAGAUGAGCCUAGGUCGGAUUAGCUAGUUGGUGAGGUAAUGGCUCACCAAGGCGACGAUCCGUAACUGGUCUGAGAGGAUGAUCAGUCACACUGGAACUGAGACACGGUCCAGACUCCUACGGGAGGCAGCAGUGGGGAAUAUUGGACAAUGGGCGAAAGCCUGAUCCAGCCAUGCCGCGUGUGUGAAGAAGGUCUUCGGAUUGUAAAGCACUUUAAGUUGGGAGGUAGGGCGUUUGGCUAAUAUCCAGGCGUUUUGACGUUACCAACAGAAUAAGCACCGGCUAACUUCGUGCCAGCAGCCGCCGUAAAAC
rnacentral:rRNA from 1 species